rnacentral:rRNA from 1 species
UGAGAGUUUGAUCCUGGCUCAGGAUGAACGCUGGCGGUGUGCUUAAGGUAUGCAAAUCGAGCGGCCCACGGGCAGCGGUGAACGGGUGAGUAAUGCGUAGGAAUCUACCUCUUGGUGGGGAAUAGCUCGCCGAAAGGCGGGGUAAUACCGCGUAAGUAACGCCACAUGGCAACAUGUGGCGUUAGAUAGGCCGUAACUGGCCGCCGAGAGAUGAGCCUGCGUGCUAUCAGCUUGUUGGUAGGGUAAUGGCCUACCAAGGCGAUGACGGCUAGGGGGCGUGAGAGCGCGAUCCCCCACAAGGUCACUGAGACACGGGGCCUACACCUACGGGUGGCAGCAAUCGGGAAUCUUGCGCAAUGGGCGAAAGCCUGACGCAGCGACACCGCGUGUGGGAAGACGCCUUUCGGGGUGUAAACCACUGUGGCAGGGGACGAUAAUGACGGUACCCUGCUAGAAAGCACUUGCUAACUACGUGCCAGAAGCCUCGGUGAAACGUAGGGUGCAAGCGUUAUCCGGAUUUACUGGGCGUAAAGGGUUUCGUAGGCGGAGAAACUAGUGGCGGGUGAAAGCCCACGGCUCAACCGUGGAAUUGCUCGUCAUACGGUUUUUCUAGAGUCUGUUAGGGGAGGCUAGAAUUCUCGGUGGAGGGGUGAAAUCCGUUGAUAUCGAGAGGAAUGCCAAGGGCGAAAGCAGGCCUCUGGGGCAAGACUGACGCUAAGGAACGAAAGCUAGGGUAGCAAACCGGAUUAGAGACCCGGGUAGUCCUAGCCGUAAACGAUGGAUACUAGAUGUCCCGGUGUCGUAAGCUAACGCGUUAAGUAUCCCGCCUGGGUAGUACGGCCGCAAGGCUAAAACUCAAAGGAAUUGACGGGGAGGCGCACAACCGGUGGAGCAUGUGGUUUAAUUCGAUACAAAGCGAUGGACCUUACCUGGGCUUGACAUGUACCUGCACUCCCGUAGAAAUACGGGAUUCUUCGAGAGUGGUACACAGCUGCUGCAUGGCUGUCGUCAGCUCGUGUCGUGAGAUGUCGGCUUAAGUGCCGUAACGAGCGCAACCCCUGUCCCGUGUUGAAUAUUCACGGGAGACUGCCUUACAGCAAGUAGGGAGGAAGGAGGGGAUGACGUCAAGUCAUCAUGGCGCUUACGUCCAGGGCCACACACAUCCUACAAUGGGAAGGACAACGGGUUGCGACCCGGCAACGGUGAGCUAAUCCUUCAAACCUUCCCUCAGUUCGGAUUGGGGGCUGCAACUCGCCCCCAUGAAGUCGGAAUCGGUAGUAAUCGCGGAUCAGCAGACCGCGGUGAAUACGUUCUCGCCUCUUGUACACACUGCCCGUCAAGCCAGCAAAGUUGGCAGCGCCCGAAGUACCCCUCACCUUUACCCGGAACAGAACACGGCUGAAUAAGCAGACGUUAAGUAUCAGAGUAAAGGUGAGGGGGUCUAAGGCGAGGUCAGCGAUGAGGACUAAGUCGUAACAAGGUAUCCGUACUGGAAGGUGCGGAUGGAUCACCUCCUU